UUUAUGACGACUGACUAAUUGAACAAAUCAAAUUAGCCCUAGCCCGGCCGAGCAUUUACGUUUGUCAUCACUAAAUCAUCGAGGGGCCCAAAGAUAUCGCUUUUAUCCUACUUUGGAUAAAAGGAACGGAUAAACUUUGAUACAAUGCUUGCUUGCACUCACUCACCGAAUCACACACAACAAUAUGUUUUAUAACACCAAGUUACUAGUGCGUUUACAUAUUAUCAAUGUGCAACCGAUUUGCAAGAUACAACUCACACAUCUCGGUUUCAAGAAUAUAAGAUGUUAUCGUCUCACCAAUCACUCGUGAUACAAUUCAUGGAGUGAUCCAAGUGAGCGUGGGUUUAAUCCAAUGCUCAAAUCAUAUUCAUAAGCACUCAUGAACGUUGCAACAAACAUUUGCUUAUGUCUAAUACUCUUUUAGACAAUCCACACACCAAUUCACGACAGUCUUCAUUCAUAUCUACUUCCAACAUAUGAACGACUGUGGCCCGUUUGAAUAAUUCGAUUAUUCUUAAUAAACUCAAUUAUUCUGGAAGUCAAAACAUGCAAUGUGAAACACAAGAAUAAUACUAAUCCCAUAUGGCCUCAAACCUUUGAGUAUAAAUAAAACACCUUUUAUUUAUCACCAUAUCGAUUACUCAUUAUUUGUCGUUUCGGGUAAUCAACUUCUUACUUGAAUUACAACACUUGUCCCAUGCUCCUAGCAUGCACACAAUGUUUACCUAUGGUUCUUACUUUGUGAAAUAGAUCACAUUGAACACAUUUCCAAUCAUUCUCAUUUCACAACUCCAAAUCCUUUUUCCAUAAGUGAAAGAAUAUCAAAUUCUUGCUACUUAUAGAAUAUGCUAGAUUCUAACAUUCUAUGCAAUGAUCCUUUCGUAAUGUCACUGCACCAAAGUCACAAAGACUAUUGCCAAUGAUAUUACAAAGUCCUCUAUCGGAGAUUGUUACAAGACAAUUCCUUAGAUAUGAUGUCUCUCACUCAAAGUACAUUCCUUUGAACAUCCUUUUGCAUAAAAGUUUCUAAUCUAGACAUAGAUUUUCAAUAUUCAAUUCCCAAUAUGGACACGCUUCCAUAUUUUCCAUAUGACAACUCAUUCUUAAUAGAAUCUUAUCUAUUCGUAAUGAUGUCGAUAUGGUCCAUCCAAUAUGGAAACAUUUCCAUAAUUUCCAUAUGACAACUCAUUCUUAAUAGAAUCUUUUCUAUUCAUAAUAAUGUCGAUAUGGUCCAUCCAAUACCAUGCUUCCAACUACUCACAAGCGACCAAUCCUCGUCGAACUUUGGAUUGUCCUUUGAUAGUUGUUUAAUUAUUUUAGUCAAAACCAAUUCUAGUCCCUUUUCCCUCUAAAUGCGCUCGACAUUUGGAAAAUUUUAGAAUGGUCAAACAUUAAAGCAUUUGCAAUCGAUCCUAUACCCGAAGCGUAUGGGACACGACGCAUAAUGUUUUAUUUGCUAUGUUCUCAAAAUUCGAAUUGUGAAGAGGAAUGUCGUAAUCAUAAUCGAAAUUUUAAGAACACACUAUGUACCUUUGACUAAAUUUAUUAACAUUUCUCAACCUAAGCCUUUAGAUUUGAAAUGAAGCAUAAUAUUCUCUCCCUUAAUUAUAGCAAAACAACUUUACAACCCUUACGACUUUGCAAGGUAUAACUCUUGUUUUCUAUAAUUAAUAUUGCCAACUUGCAAUACGUGCCUUAAUAAUCAUACAAUCAUAACAUUUAUGCUCCCACUAUCAUGAUGAUUAUUAUAAAACAUAACACUUAUGCUCCCACUAGCUUCGACAUGUAUUCAUAAACAUCUUAACUUUCAGAAAAACAAUGCUUAUUGAAUUUCUUAAGUUCAUGUUUCUAAUACUUAGUGCUUUGAUAAUCUUUUAUCAAGGCUUCUUGAACUUAUACACCUUUGCCUUCGAUAGUUCAUAUGUGUGUCUAAACAAUUAAGACUAAUUGCCAAACCUCACAAUUCAAAUUAUGGAAAGGGAUACCGUAACCAUAAUCGAAUUCGAGAAUGCAAUUUUACAAUCACUAUCUUCUUAAAAUCUUUCUUAGUGAAAGCAUUUCCUCACAAUCAUUUUCAUGAAGGAGGAAAUCUUAUGACACUUAGAUUUAAACGGUGUAUGUGUUCCUAUCCAUGUGAAUUUGUUAAAACCAAAGUUUACGACAAAUUCAAACUCAUAUGGACCGAACUUUCUUAAUCUUGAUUUCUUGCCUUAUGGUAGCACAGCUGCCCACCAUGUCUUCCAAGUAGUUAAGCAGCUCACCUUUUCUUAUCAAUGUACUUUCCAUUGAUCAAGGUCCUUGCCUUUUAUGCAUUCAAAUGAGAACUCAUAGGACUCACAUGCAUAAUUAACUCGAUUGGAUUGGCACAGAAACAAAAUAAUGUCAACACGAUAGGUUGUAAACCUCAACUCGUGUGCUAGUGAUGAUCGAUAAGGUUUAUUUGAUUUGUUCUUGAAACCUUUCAAGACCAUUAAGACUCCCACUGACUCCUUGACAUAUAAGAUUCUCUUGUCAAAAAACAUUUCUUGACAAACAAAUAUUCAAGAGUUAGUGUAGCUUUUAUCAAAACUCUUCAUAAAUUGGUCCUAGUUGGUCUUUGUCUUAUCCAAGACAUCACAACUUUCCACAUUUGAUGAAUGUUAUAAACCUUCUUAAUACUUUUCACUCAAUGUCACAAUCUUAACUCUAAGACUUGUUUUGGAACGAAGUAUGAUUGACUUCUUGAUUUAACCAUUUCUUCAAUUCUUGAUUCCUCUUCUUAGACAUACAAUUGUACUAAGACUCACUUAGAGGAUCAAUUGAGAUAUGGUUCUUAAUCAUUAAGACCUAUCAUAAAGCAUAAAAGCUACUCUCCCUUCUUCUUAGAAUGGAGAAACUUUUAUCUUUCUGCCUACUUGAUUCUUCUUAUUCGUUCUGCUAUUGAUUUAAACUUUUUCAAUCAAUUCAGAAUUACACUUAAUCUUGUAAGUAUAAUCAUAUUUACUAAACCUUUAGUAAAUCAUGACGAAUAUCUUUGUUACUCUUAUGGUGGACUUGAUCAACACGCAACUUUGUGUACUCGAUCUCCUAGUCCUUCACUUGACACUUUGUCAAUGAAUUAGUCUAAUUUCCAAAUAUGAAAUUUCUCAUUCAUCGUGCAACCAAGUUGCAUGAUUCCAAGUUUCUGUCCAAUUGAAACUUGGGCGAUGAGAAACUCUCCCUAUUUGGUAAACUCUCGACUUUCCAUAAAUAACAUAAUAAGAACCAAAUCCAUUAUUGCUAAUAAUAGAAACAUUCAAACAUCAAUUUUUCAUAUACGCCAUUGCAAGGAUAAAUAAAUAAUAUAAAAUCAAAAUUUAUUUUAUUGCGGAAAAAAUUUGUCCUUACAAUGCAAUUCAUUGAAAAACUAUGCUAAUACAUCUUUCUUAGCAAUCUAAUUCUAACUCUAAGUAGUAGCUCAAGAAUCUAAUCUUCGAGAAAUGCGAUCGAAAUCCAUUCCUUCACGGUUAGAUUCUGCUCACUUCUUCCCUUAAGCUUCCUUUCUUUUCUUCGAUCCUACAAAACAUCAAUUGUAAUCUUAUCACAUUAUGUAUUAAGAAUCUAGAAUAGAAGCUUAAAAGAGUUAGUUAAUGGAUUUUACCUAUAUUAGAGCCAUACGUUUCGACUCUCCCAUCUCUUAGAUCUCUUAGGUAAAUGGGGCAGCUUCGUCUCCAAUGCCCUUUCUCUUGGCAAUAAAAGCAAAUUGACUCUUUUGGAACAUGACAUGGAACUACUUCAGACAUUGCCUUUCUCUUAUGAUCAAACUUUUCGAUCAUAGCAUGUCUUUCGUUGCCAUUGUCUAUAUCCAUAGAGGUCUUGAAGGCAGAUUCACCAAUCAACUUUGCUUUUCUAUUGCGCCAAACCAUUGCUGAUUCAGCAGCAAUAAGCAUAUAGGUGAGAUCUAUAAGGGUCACGUCGCGGUUCAUCAUAUAGUACUCUCUUACGAACUCACUAUAUGAGUUAGGAAGUGACUGAAGAACCCAAUCAACAGCCAUUUCCUCACAGACAACGGAUCCCAACAUUCUUAACCUAUCAAUGUGUGACUUCAUCCCUAGGACGUGUGCACACACCGACUUUCCUUCUUUAUGUUUACUUGCCAAAAGGGCUUGAGUGAUCUUGAACUUUUCAAGCCUUUGAACUUGUGGGUUAGGGAGAAUAAUUGGAGGAGGAGGAGGAAGUGAAGCAUGAUUUCUUGUUCCUCGAUCGAAUCGUGGAAUAUCAUCUUCAUGUGGAAUGCUUGUUCCACGGGAUUUGGGAAGACCAUAGUUGUCGAACUUUGACAUCUACAAAACGGGAGAAAACGAAUUCAAGUUAGUUGAUUGAUUGAGUCCUUAGUAAAUCACCCAAAUGAGAUACUAAGGCUAGGACCCAACACAAUAUUCUACAACUCGGGAGAGGGAUGCCGUAACCCUAAUUGCAGAAUAUUUGAAGGUAAGUGAAUGACGAUUCACUAAUUUCCACCAUGAAAAACGAAAAAGAAAUUUAAGUUUUAAAUCUAUGAAAACUCCUAGAUCCUUUGAGAUUCAUUGAACUUUCAAUGGCAUGUUUAAAUCUCGAUAUGCCCCUCUUGUUUGUGACUGGGAUGCCGAGGAUCACAAAGCGGGUGUGAAUAACCAUGCAAACUUACAUGGUGCCCUCACAUGUUACAGUCACCUAUUCGAUGUGCCGGUAAACCACACACGCUCCACCGAACUAUGACAAACAUUGAGUCACCCUUUGCUACCUUUGCUUAGAACCAUUUAGUGUGCCGGUAAACCACACACGCUCCACUAACGUCUUCGCAAGGGCACAAAGUGUAAUUUCAUGGAAUUGCAUCAAUUCACUUUUGCCUAAGUAACUAAGAUUGGGAAUUUUAUGAAAACAUUUAGUUACUUUAAUAAUUCAUUAUACUUAUAAUGGAAGGUUUCGUCCUAUCCUACCCGUUCGGCUAACGACCCUCCACUAGUCAAGAGUGCGGUGGGUAAGAGUGGAUACCCAUUCAAUCGCCAUUUUAUAGGCAAUUUCCUUAAACACCCCUUAUAGACCAGCUUCGUGAAUGAGGCCUACUAACGGUAAGACUGACUUUUACUCAUACAUAUAUAUAAUGUUAGACUUUUAAUGUUAUAUAUAGUAUAGGGUGUAUUUUACACUUUUAAAAUAUUAGGUGGUCAAAUUUAACAAUUAUACUUUUAAUUCAAUUAAAUUGUAAACCAAAACUUUUAUGGAUUUAUUAAACCUCUUUUAAUUAUACACCUUAAUUAAUUAAUAAAACCAUAAGGGUGUGAUUUGAACUUUUUCAAAACAAUACUAGGGUUUUAGAAUUUAACAUUCCUAAUUAAACUUUUAAUCAACUUUUAAAUUCCAAAACUUGAGGGCAAGUUUUGAAACAUUUCAAAACAUUAGGGUUUAGAAUUUAAAUAUACAUCAAAAUUAAACUAUUAAUCAAAAUUUAAAUUCCAAAACUUGAGGGCAAGUUUUGAAACCUUUUUCAAAACAUUAGGGUUUCAACUAUUUAAAUUUCAAAACAACAAAACUUUUGAGGUCAAAUUUAAACUAUAAAACCUAAAGGGGAAAAUAUGAAACAUUUCAUAACAUAAGGAUCAAAUAACAAAUAAUCUAAAUUAACAUUUAAUCACAUAAUUAUCCAUAUUUGAUUUAUUUAAUGAUUUCUUGCAAAACAAUUUACCAAUUUAAUCAAAAUAAUUAAUCAAUUAUCACAUAAGGAAACAAAUAUUUUAUUAAUUGAUAAAUAUCUUCAAUUAGAUCAAGAAUAUAGUCAUAUAUAUCAAAAAAUCGGAUUUAUAUUGAUCUAAUAUGAUAAGGCAAGUAUCCUCAAGCAAAAACAGCAAGAAAUCCCGGUUUUCCCUCAUUCUGACCAGCCGACUCGUCGAGUCAGGCAUGGACUCGUCGAGUCAGCAUGGACUCGGCGAGUUCAUCUAGAGACUCGGCGAGUUCAGCAAGCAGAACCACAAAAAACGAAUUUUUUCAACAUACAAGGCAUCAAUACAAUAGAAACCAAUCUAGGCUCUGAUACCACUGAUGGGUUUUGGUCAUAAGAACAUCCUAUGUGCUCAUACAAACCCUAAUGCUUGGAUCUAGGUUUCUCUAUUGUACAUGCAAUUUAUCCAAGACUAUAAACCCUAGAUCUAGCAUAUGAUAAUCAAUAUAACAAUUAAUUAGGGUUUAGAUCAUACCUUGAUUGUUAUGUAGCAAUAACAAUCUCAAAUCCUCCUUGUAAUGACUUUAGAAAGCUUAGAGUCACAAAUGUCACUCCUCUAAUGGUUCACAAACACCAAGAGCAAGAGGAUGAAGAAGAGAAGAGAAGGAGGCUGCCCAAAACGUGUGGAAACCCUAGAGAACAAGUUCACCACGUUUUUGGGGCUUAAGGGUUCUUUAAAUAGUGAGGCUAUUAGGGUUAUCUAACAAGGAAACCCUAAUUUGGAUGCUUAAGCCCUAAGCAACCCAUGGAGCCCUUUCCUUAAGGCCUUGGACGAUUUCAUAUGGGCUUCCCCCAUAGAAUUCGUCCACCUUAUAAUAUAAGGCAAUCCAUGGCCCCAAUUGCAAUUAUCUUAUAAUUACAAUUCCAGUCCCUUAAGUUUAAUUAAUCUCUUUUAGUCACAAAACUAAUUACCAAUUAAUUCUUGACUAAUAUUAAUUAAACAAUAUGAUUUCUCCUUUAAUAUAUUAUUCUCAUAAUAUAUUAAUAAAUCAUAUUUAAUCCUUUCUCUCCAUAAUUCAUCCUAUCAAGUUGCUUUGGUGAAGGCAACCCAAAAGGACCAUGCACCAUCGGGUCAAGUACAUACCAAAAUAGUUAUGGACUUAGACACUAAUCCAACAGUCUCCCACUUGGAUAAGUCUAAUAACUAUUCUGCGUAUGACUUCAGAUCCUGAUCUGCAAUCGUAGCUUUCAAAAGCCGCUGUCAACUCUGAUCUUAUCAGAAGCGUGUCCUUUAGAUAAGGGAUCAUAUAUUCCUCCAUUCUAGAUAUCGUAUAGACUGAGACAUGGAUUUAAAUCAUUCUCUCUGUCUAUGUGUUGUUUCCCGAUUUCCGAUUUAUGACGACUGACAACAGACUACAAUUGAACACAUCAAAUUAGUCCCGGCUUGGCCAAGCGCUUAGGUGUCAUCACUAAAUCAUCGAGGGGCCCACAGAUAUCGCUUUCAUCCUACUUUGGAUAAAAGGAACGGAUAAACUUUGAUUCAAUGCUUGCUUGCACUCACUCACCGAAUCACACACAACAAUAUGUUUUAUGACACCAAGUUACUGGUGCGUUUACAUAUUAUCAAUGUGUAACCGACUCGCAAGAUACAACUCACACAUCUCGGUUUCAAGAAUAUAAGAUAUUAUCGUCUCACCAAUCACUCGUGAUAAAAUCCAUGAAGUGAUCCAAGUGAGCGUGGGUUUAAUCCAAUGCUCAAAUCAUAUUCAUAAGCACUCAUGAACGUUGCAGCAAACAUUUGCUUAUGUCUAAUACACUUUAGACAAUCCACACACCAAUUCACGACAGUCUUCAUUCAUACCUACUUCCAACAUAUGAAC
rnacentral:lncRNA from 1 species